rnacentral:rRNA from 1 species
GAGCGGAUGAAGGGAGCUUGCUCCCUGAUUCAGCGGCGGACGGGUGAGUAAUGCCUAGGAAUCUGCCUGGUAGUGGGGGACAACGUUUCGAAAGGAACGCUAAUACCGCAUACGUCCUACGGGAGAAAGCAGGGGACCUUCGGGCCUUGCGCUAUCAGAUGAGCCUAAGUCGGAUUAGCUAGUUGGUGAGGUAAUGGCUCACCAAGGCGACGAUCCGUAACUGGUCUGAGAGGAUGAUCAGUCACACUGGAACUGAGACACGGUCCAGACUCCUACGGGAGGCAGCAGUGGGGAAUAUUGGACAAUGGGCGAAAGCCUGAUCCAGCCAUGCCGCGUGUGUGAAGAAGGUCUUCGGAUUGUAAAGCACUUUAAGUUGGGAGGAAGAGUUGCUGAUUAAUACUCUGCAAUUUUGACGUUACCGACAGAAUAAGCACCGGCUAACUCUGUG